rnacentral:rRNA from 1 species
UACAGAGGGUGCAAGCGUUAAUCGGAAUUACUGGGCGUAAAGCGUGCGUAGGCGGUCAUGUAAGUCGGGUGUGAAAGCCCCGGGCUCAACCUGGGAAUUGCAUUCGAGACUGCAUGGCUAGGGUGCGGAAGAGGGAAGCGGAAUUUCCGGUGUAGCGGUGAAAUGCGUAGAUAUCGGAAGGAACACCAGUGGCGAAAGCGGCUUCCUGGUCCAGCACCGACGUUCAGGCACGAAAGCGUGGGGAGCAAACAGG